CACAAAUUGAAAAUGUAGUUAGGUCUAUGAUAGUUGCAUCUGUACUGCACAUGUACAGACUUUUUUUUCUGGUCAUUAUUCCCUAAACGAUGAGUAUAAUGACUAUUUACAUAGCAUUUACAUUGCUUCAUUUCAGUGAAGUGGUAGGGGUGUAAGUGUGACUGGAGUGGAUUCAAGAAACAAUAAGAGAAGAGACAAUAGCAACAGCCGAAGGUGCAGCUCUUCUUAUGGAGAUAGCAGAGACACAAGAGACCAAGCUCAACUACACAAGCAUAUUUCAUGUCUCUGCUUACGUCACAUCUGUCAUUAUCCCAUUGGCCAAGGUAAGUCACAUGGUUGAGUUCAAAGUCAAGGGACUGGAACAUCUUAUCCUCUGGGGUUGAGAGAAGGAAGAGGAUGUUUUUGAAUAAUAACCAAAUCUACCAUAUCAAUCAAAGUAUCUCUUAAUUCUGUGCUGGAGGUCUUUUGUCUGUUACCUUUGUGGCAAAUAUUUCCACUAAAUCUCCCCAAUAAACUUCUGGAAAUCCUAAAAGGCUCUCUUUGGGGAUAUUGUAUCAUAUCCUUCAUUUAAUGGAGGAGAUAAAUGGUAUUAUUUGACUUGCAGAGAAAUGGGUCCAGGGAUAGAAUAUGCAGGCAAUUUUUGUCACAUUGAUGGAUCAGGAAUCCCACAAAUUACCCAGUGGAUCCUCCAACCAACCAAAAGUUAUAAAGAAUUCAGGGGUUCUAGGAAGGUAAGGGGAGGCAUUUUUAUCUAUUGGAAACUGUCAACAGGGAGUUUUGUUUCCUUGUUUUAUGCAUUCAUUCAUUCACUAAAUAUUUUUAUUGAGCAUCAACUGUGGGUCAGGCAUUGUGCUGAGGGCACAUGGUGAAUAAAACAGCUGAGAUACAACUGUGCAGUGCCAUAAAAGAGAGGAACAUAGUGCUGCAAUUGAGAGCACUGGUAUGGGAGGGGAGAGGAUAACUUAUAGUGAUUAGAGGAGGUCUCACUGAAGAGGUAGCAUUUAGGCUGAGAUCUGAAGGGUGAGAAGGAUCUAGCCACAUGAAGAAUUAGAGAAAUUACAUAACCAUGAGGCAUAUCAGAGUUUAUUACCUAUAACAUUGAUGAGAAAUGUUAAAGAACCAAAAGGCAUUAUAUGAUGGAUUUCAUUGUAACUGCUUUAGAGAAAAAUGUCAUGAGAAAGAAAUCUGUGGCAAAUAAAAAGGGAAGUAAAGGGGAUAGAAUAGAAAUGCACUAACACUUUGUCCUGUUGUUACCCUCAAUAUCAUACACUUCACUGAUUAUACCCUCCAAAGUGUAUUGCACCCAGCAACAAAAAUUGACAUACAAUCGAAGCUCUGCUACAAAGGAGCUAGCAACUUUGG
rnacentral:lncRNA from 1 species